AGCUUUGCGCAGUGGCGAUAUCGUAACCAAUGAGGUACAUCCGAGGUGCGAUUAUUGCUAGUUGAAAAAGAUGUCAAUAAUUGGCAACCCUGCCAUUUUGGGUUAAUAACCCCGAAAAAUUUGUGUUGGCAUACUAA